GUUAGUUGUCCUUCGAAACCGAUACCGACGUGUCGUUAUUAGAUUUUACGAGCGAUUUGACGCCGUCUUAAGAUACAUGCACAUGCAUUGACGUUCGAGCUGAGUUGCGUUUGAACGGUUGUCGCGAUUUAACGAGAUUUAAAAGCGGGCACCGGACGGUAGACUACACGUCUCGGGCAGAAAAGCGAUCAGGCGACGAAUACAAGCGAAGAAAAGGAGAGCACUGGACACAACGAAAUAAAUUAAUGACGCAAAAGGCGACUCGUGGUCUGACCGUUAAAUGCUUCAAUAUAAAUUAGCAGCACUUUGUGCUAAAUUAGCUAGCAAAAAUAAAGCCAGAAUCAAGCCUAUUCAUCAUUUAAGAGAAUGCAAUAGGACUAUGUUGUGAUUCAGUGACUCGUGACUCAGAGAGGUUCCUUUUUUGCCUGUGAAACUGUGAUGAAACUGCUAUUGCGACAACUAAGGUCGCUGACACAAUCGUCCUUUGAAUACGUCACUUCAAAGGAAUCAACUCUCAAUCGUCCCGCGCUGUAUCGUUUCAUCAACCACGUUUGCCCAAUAAUUUAUUUUCGCUCGCCGAAAGAGUGGUCGAAACAAAAGUUCCAUUAGGCAAAAUUUCAUUCUCACCAAACGGACGAACGAGAUCCGCCUUGUUGCCUUUAUUUCCCGACCGAGGGAGAAAAGGCGAAGGGAAGUUGGAAGGUUCACCCAUUCGCUGACUAAAUUCACUUUACUCGUCUCUAACGUACAAAGAGAGAUGUAACAAUGCCGGUCAUUCUAUUUUCACGAUGGUGGAAGGAAGCAUUGCGUGUCACAUUAAACGUUCUCAAAGCGGUGCCUCACUCAUCUAUCCUUUUCCCUAUCCACCAAGGCUAUCAUUGCUAGACUGGUCAAUAACUUUUUCUUCUUCUCCCCUAUACACUCUAUUUUCCUUCCUCCAAUCAUUAUUUCUUUCCUUUUCAUCAUCGUUUCUCAUCAACUGCCUACUUUUGGAUGUAAACCACAAGAAUCCCUUCCUUUUUCUCUUCAAGUUACAGUCUCUCGUCAACCACUCUUUUUUUCUUUUCUUCGAUCAUCUCAUCAACUUCGAAUCAUACAAAUCAUUUCCAUAUUCUUUUCAAUUAUCGUCUUUCCUUAACCGCCUCCUUUUGAACCGCAUAAAUCACCCCUUUUUUCUUUCCUUUGAUCAUCCAAGUUUGGUUAACCGCUUGUUUUUCGAGUAUGCAUAUAAAUUACCCUUAUUCUUUCUUUCAAUCUUGAUCACUCGUCUUUUUUUUCUCCCUUUUUUUUUUUUGAUCCUAUUUCUCUUUUUUAAUCGUCUCUUACCAAUCAUCUGUUUUUGAUCCGCAUACAUAAAACAUCCCACCCCCCUUCCAACUAGCAAGUCUCUGGUCAAGCUCUCCUUUACUUAUUCGUCUCCGAUCAACCAUCUGCUUAUAGGCAUAUACCGUAUAAAACCACUUUCUUGCUCUCUUUAGAUUAUCGUCCGUCGCCAAUCUUCUCCUUUCGAACUACAUAAACAACCCUCUUCCUCUCUUUGACGAUCGUCAAUGAUCUUCUUUUAUGCCAUGUAAACCACCCUCAUCGAAAUCGAAUCUCAAUGGCCACGGGUAUUGGCAAUAAAUUACCAACUUCUUCAGAGACGUCCACCAUCAACUUAUCGAACGAUCGUAAUCCCGCAUCUGAAAUCGCUCGACGGGAACGUAUUGGGCUAAUUGAUUUCGAUUCACCACUCUGGAUAGAUUAUUCACGGAUUCCGUUAUCACGAGGAAAUGGGGAGUGCAAUUGGACGAACAGAUACGGAGGAAUCGAGUAAAAGCGGAAUCGAAAGAAUAAUUUGCUAUCGGAAGGAAAGAUGGUGGAUGAAGAAUUUCACACCUGUUGAAUUUCGUUUUUUAGCGGUAAAUCGGGAUAACCCACUCUUGGAACGAUUGAUAAAUUAUUCGCCGUGAAAAGAGGGGAGACGCGCGCAUAAUUUAUCCGAUGGAUCGAGGCGGCGUCGAUCGAGCGGACACUUCACCAGGUUCGCCCGAUAAGGCGGAUAUAACGCGUGGAAGGUUAAUCGGUUAAAUGGUGAAUGGUUUUUCCGAUAUUUCAUAUUUAUGGACUUAGACUGGCGCGAAAUCGCCGUUCUAUUAUUCUGCCUUAUCGCUCUAUAAAGAAAUGUAAUUUUUUUUUUUUUUUUAUUAAAUACGCGCCAUAUAAUAAUUGGAGCGUUGUGCGUUCGAGAGUAGCUGUCUGUGAAGAUUGAAAAAUAUAUACGAAUUAAUUCGAAAUAUUAUUUAUGAAAUUCUAGAGAAGCUCUAGAUGUUGGAAAAUAUUUGAAGAUUUUAAAAGAUAUGAUAAUGAAAAGAUAACUAUAAUAUAUAUUUAAUAAUCGUGACAGUCAUUAUUAGUUAAAGAAUUCACAUUGUUAUGCUAAUAAAAUUCAUAAGUAUAUUCUAA